rnacentral:rRNA from 1 species
CCUACGGGUGGCAGCAGCAGGGAAUCUUGCGCAAUGGGCGAAAGCCUGACGCAGCGAUGCCGCGUGAGGGAUGAAGGCCUUCGGGUUGUAAACCUCUUUCGACAGGGAAGAAGCCGCGGGUAACCGCGGUGACGGUACCUGUAGAAGAAGCCCCGGCUAACUACGUGCCAGCAGCCGCGGUAAUACGUAGGGGGCAAGCGUUGCCCGGAUUCACUGGGCGUAAAGCGCGUGUAGGCGGUCCGUUAAGUCGGAUGUGAAAUCUCUGGGCUCAACCCAGAAAUUGCCUCCGAUACUGGCGGACUUGAGGACGGUAGAGGUCGGUGGAAUAGCAGGUGUACCGGUGAAAUGGGCAGAUAUCUGCUAGAACACCAGUGGCGAAGGCGGCCGACUGGGCCGUUCCUGACGCUGAUACGCGAAAGCCAGGGGAGCGAACCGGAUUA